rnacentral:rRNA from 1 species
GUGAGGAAUUUUGCGCAAUGGGAGCAAUCCUGACGCAGCAACGCCGCGUGGGUGAUGAAGGCCUUCGGGUCGUAAAGCCCUGUCAGGUGGGAAGAACGUCUUGGGGAUGAAUAAGCUCUGAGAGUGACGGUACCACCAGAGGAAGCACCGGCUAACUCCGUGCCAGCAGCCGCGGUAAUACGGAGGGUGCGAGCGUUAUUCGGAAUUACUGGGCGUAAAGCGCGUGUAGGCGGGGAGGCAAGUCUGAUGUGAAAGCCCCGGGCUUAACCUGGGAAGUGCAUUGGAAACUGCUUUUCUUGAGUGCUGGAGAGGAAGGGGGAAUUCCCGGUGUAGAGGUGAAAUUCGUAGAGAUCGGGAGGAAUACCAGUGGCGAAGGCGCCCUUCUGGACGGCAACUGACGCUGAGACGCGAAAGCGUGGGGAGCAAACAGGAUUAGAUACCCCAGUAGUCC